rnacentral:rRNA from 1 species
UACGGGGGGGGCAAGCGUUGUUCGGAAUUACUGGGCGUAAAGGGCUCGUAGGUGGCCAACUAAGUCAGACGUGAAAUCCCUCAGCUUAACUGGGGAACUGCGUCUGAUACUGGAUGGCUUGAGUUUGGGAGAGGGAUGCGGAAUUCCAGGUGUAGCGGUGAAAUGCGUAGAUAUCUGGAGGAACACCGGUGGCGAAGGCGGCAUCCUGGACCAAUACUGACACUGAGGAGCGAAAGCCAGGGGAGCGAAACGGG